rnacentral:rRNA from 1 species
GAUUCAUAACUGGGGUGAAGUCGUAACAAGGUAACCGUAGGGGAACCUGCGGUUGGAUCACCUCCUUA